GUGAAUCAUCGAAUUUUUGAACGCAAAUUGCACUCUCUUCGGAGAGUAUGCCUGUUUGAGGGCCCGCUUAAAAAAAAUCGACAUAGUUGCUGUUUAGCGGUUAAAUUCGUCGGAAAUUGGGUCAUUUUAAACUUUUGGGUUUUCAGCGGAUUAAAAUUUUCUUUAUGAUUCCACUAACGUUUAUAAGAUUUUACUUCUUACACGUUUGAGGAAUGGAUUUUUAUUAGAUGUGUCUAGCAUA
rnacentral:misc_RNA from 1 species